rnacentral:rRNA from 1 species
AUUGAACGCUGGCGGCAGGCCUAACACAUGCAAGUCGACGUAGUGGCGGACGGGUGAGUAACACGUGGGUAACCUGCCCAUCAGUAGGGGAUAACACCUGGCAACAGGUGCUAAUACCGUAUAAGGAGGGAUGGCCCCGCGGUGCAUUCGAUAUGUGGUGAGGUAACGGCCCAACAAGGCCACGAUGCAUAGCCGACCUGAGAGGGUGAUCGGCCACAUUGGGACUGAGACACGGCCCAAACUCCUACGGGAGGCAGCAGUAGGGAAUCUUCGGCAAUGGACGAAAGUCUGACCGAGCAACGCCGCGUGAGUGAAGAAGGUUUUCGGAUCGUAAAACUCUGUUGUUAGAGAAGCGGUAUCUAACCAGAAAGCCACGGCUAACUACGUGCCAGCAGCCGCGGUAAUAC